rnacentral:rRNA from 1 species
GUGGGGAAUCUUCCGCAAUGGACGAAAGUCUGACGGAGCAACGCCGCGUGAGUGAUGAAGGUCUUCGGAUUGUAAAGCUCUGUUAAUCGGGACGAAAGAGCCUAGUGUGAAUAAUGCUAGGAAGUGACGGUACCGGAAUAGAAAGCCACGGCUAACUACGUGCCAGCAGCCGCGGUAAUACGUAGGUGGCAAGCGUUGUCCGGAAUUAUUGGGCGUAAAGCGCGCGCAGGCGGAUCUGCCAGUCUGUCUUAAAAGUUCGGGGCUUAACCCCGUGAUGGGAUGGAAACUACAGAUCUAGAGUAUCGGAGAGGAAAGUGGAAUUCCUAGUGUAGCGGUGAAAUGCGUAGAGAUUAGGAAGAACACCGGUGGCGAAGGCGACUUUCUGGACGACAACUGACGCUGAGGCGCGAAAGCGUGGGGAGCAAACAGGAUUAGAAACCCCGGUAGUCC